ACAUCAGGGAGUACCCAGUCUAGCUAUAACGUUAAACUAACAUCAGGGAGUACCCAGUCUAGCUAUAACGUUAAACUAACAUUAGGGACGACCAAUCACGGCCGGAUGUGAUACAGCCUGGAAUCGAGCCGAGGACUGUAGUGACGACUCUUACACAGACCAAUUACUUAACCAAUUACUGUUUAAUCAGACGAUGGACAUACGCAACUGAAUAUGCAGCUCAACAAACACGGUUGUUUGUAUUUGCAGCAGGAAGUGAAUAGUUUGUGUUUACAAUGAUUUAUCAUGUCGCCAUCUACAUGGUAAGAUGGGAUGGCUGCCAACGAUGGGCGCUCCUCAGCCUGUUGUGGUUCUGGAUGGCCAGACUGCGCGCAAGAGAGACACUGUCAUGUGGGGAAGCAUACAGGGCUUAUUUCAGCAUGUUUUAUCUUGUUACUGAUACCAUGUUGUGUUUUAAGGUGUUUUGACUGAUUUCAUGUCAAUGCAAAUGUAUUUUUAAAAAAACAAACGUGAUAACUUGCUCACCGUCGACUGUAAUGAUGUAUUUGAAACAACAAGUGGUCAUUGUGCAAAUGUUGUUGUUUUUUUCCUUCCAAUAAACAUCGGAGACGAAAUAUAGUUUCCACGUUAACAAUC